AUACGGAGGGUGCAAGCGUUAUUCGGAAUCACUGGGCGUAAAGGACGCGUAGGCGGGUUGGCAAGUCAGAUGUGAAAUCCUACAGCUUAACUGUAGAACUGCAUUUGAAACUGCUAACCUAGAGUAUGGGAGGGGGAGAUGGAAUUAGUGGUGUAGGGGUAAAAUCCGUAGAUAUCACUAGGAAUACCGAAAGCGAAGGCGAUCUGCUGGGACAUUACUGACGCUGAGGCGUGAAAGCGUGGGGAGCAAACAGGAUUAGAUACCCGAGUAGUCC
rnacentral:rRNA from 1 species